UACAGAGGUGGCAAGCGUUGUUCGGAAUUACUGGGCGUAAAGGGCGCGUAGGCGGUUCGUUAAGUCCUGUGUGAAAUCCCCCGGCUCAACUGGGGAACUGCACAGGAAACUAGCGGGCUUGAGUUCGGGAGAGGGAAGCGGAAUUCCGGGUGUAGCGGUGAAAUGCGCAGAUAUCAGGAAGAACACCCGUGGCGAAGGCGGCUCUCUGGGACGGUACUGACGCUGAGACGCGAAAGCGUGGGGAGCGAACAGG
rnacentral:rRNA from 1 species